GUCCGCUGGGGUCGCUCCGAGCGGGGGCUGAUGGUGUUCCUCGCCCGCCCGUGGGUGCGAGGGGAGGGGGGUCCCGGCGCCCCAACUCCGCUGGAGCUGCGCCUCUCUCCUGCUGGCUGCCGGGCGCUGGGGAGAGGAGCAUCUCGCUGCGAUCGCGGCGUCCUUCAUCGUGGCGGAAAGCGUUUGCAGCCGGUGAACCCGGGGACAGUCCUCGGAGUAUUUUUUGGCUUGCCUGCGGCUGCUCUCAGUGCUGGGAAGCACCGCUACCAAACCCGCCGGGGCUCCCCAGGCUCCCGACGCCCCUCCCGGGGUGUUUGCGAGAUCCCAGCCCGAGCCCGGGGGGGCCGAGCCGUGUGCGGGCUCCGCUCCGUGCUUGCUGCGGGGCUCGGCAGUCCCCGGGGGAGCUCCGUGCUGCGGGGCGGCUGUCACCGCUGUCACCGCUGUGACACCGCUGUCACCCGCCUGCCGCCCGCUCGCCGCCGCCGGGCAGCCUCCCUGCCGCCUUUGCCAGAGGGCGAGGAGGAACCGGACCCAAAGUCCGAGCACAGCCUCAGUGCUCUGGACUUAUUUACAACGCCAUUUACUACCCAUUAACAGCAACAGAUGUAAGUUGGCCACCUACCUGUGUUGGUAGAAAAAUGGCACAGCUCCAUGGAUCUCAAUGGCACUGUUAUGAUUGACACCAGCUGAAGACCACACAUGACAUUUCUGUGUGUGUUUGGAUUAAGAUACAUUUAUCCAAUCAUCACUUAAGGCUGUCUGGGUGCUGCAGGCAUACUGAGCUGUGAACAUGUGAGCAAGCCUGCCUUUAGACUGCAUCAACUUAUAAGUAUCUGCCAGCUUUGAUGUUCUUCUUGCCUUUUGUGGAAAGGAUGGGAUGGAGGAAAAAACCUACAAGCCUGACCAUGGUUUUCCUGGUGCACAUGCUUCGAUGUAUGCACACAUGCUAACAACUUCUGGUUGCAACUGGACUGGACUAAUUCUACAGUUGAUAGUAGAAAAAUGAAGAGUCCUAUAAACUUUCCAAUUUCAGAUGGAAGGCAUCAAUCUGAAGAUGCACCCUGGAUUGUGGCCAGCUUUUUUGCUGUAUUUUAUUCCUGUAGCACCAUAAUGCCAUUUUGAUGAGUAAGAUCACCGAUCUCUGGUACACUCACCUUUCUUCAGCAAUGUUAAAGGAAGAGAACUAGUGUUGGGUCUAUUUAAGUGUUGUCUACCUGGAUUCCUACACCAUGCUCUGUAACCAAGGCGAUUUCCUGUGAAUCAUCAACUCCUCUGGUUCAAAUCAGAUUAAAAAUGAAUAUAAAUAAAUAAAUAAAUAGUCUGUGAACCAAACAUCCCACAUUUCAGUGAAAUCUAGCUUCACUUCUUGAGCUCUGCAGCCAAGAGCAAAGAAGCCAUGGCCUUAUAGCAGCCACGGAGCUACGGGCCCAGUACUCACUCAAUGCCUCUGUGAACAUCAGGAGCAUUUCACAGAUUUUUCUGGGAUCUGUCUCUGGCUUCUUUUGUUAGGAGUCAGGAAACAUGACAGUCCUAUUGGAUCUGGGUUGCUAGUGCUCUCUGUGUCCCAGCUUUGGGGAUGCCGGCACUGAGGCUCUAUGUGCCACCCCACCAGCAGUAUGAGGUGGGUUUCUCUGGGUGCGCCUUGUGUCUGGCUUGAUGAACCUGCUGAAAAAAGUUGCAGCUCUGUUUCAUCUGUAUGUCCUGCUAUCUUCUUUCACCUGCCAGUGAAUUUCAGUGCUUUCCAAUGGCACUUCCAGGUAGGAAACUGCCAGGCAAUACAGCAUGUGUGCAGUAGUGAGAGCUUGCUGGUAAUAUGUUUUCUAGGAAUAUAAGAGUAUUGUUUUUCUUUCCAAGGAAGCACUUAGUAUUUUUUGGUGUUAACAGCCAUUGUCUUGCUUUUCUAAAUAGCUGUAUUUAGAAGGCUAAUAUAAUUAAUUUGUUAACACUCCUGCAGUUGCGUAUAGGAUAUUUUGGGCCACAGGCACAAGUGCCUUAUGAGGCACUUGUGUUGAAAGAUUGUUUAGAGAAUCAUUUUCUACGCUUAAUAAUAUUUUAAUAUGAUAAGAUUGAGUUCUGUGGCCAUUAACAUCUGUUUUGCUUUUUUUUGUUUUUUUUUUUUUUUUUCCUCUUACUUUCAUUAUCCCCAACUGUUUUUUAUCUGGUAUCUGGUUUUGCCUUUGGCCUGCUGCUCUUUGCAGGUUUUUGUUUUUAACAAGUACAUGAGUAAACAUUUCCAUCAGUACAGGUCUGAUUCAGAAAUGUUCAUGGUUUUCCUUGGACCUUGGCAUUCAAUUUAACUUAGAACCACUUCUUGUCCUGCGUGAAACUGUAUUCCAUGAAAAAAUAACCAAACAUAAAGGGUAUAUGUGGCUUUCUGGUUUCUCUAAUUUGUCAUCUACUCUAAUGUUCUUCACACAGGGAUAUUGAAAGUACAAAGAUUUAUAACCUGUGCACUCCUGGUAAUACUUCAGGUGUUAAGGUUAGGGACAACACCUGGUUUGGAAAUUAAUUUGGUUAAUUUAAGUAAUUUAUGUUUUUUCCUGAUGCAGGGAAAAAUUAAGGACUCUUUCUGCCACCAAGGGUGUGAAAAUUUGGCAGUGGCUGACUCUGUGAUGAAAAUGGCAAGACAGAUUUCUCCCAUUUAUAAUAUUUAACGUAUUUCUUGGGAAUUAGCACCUGCUCUUGAACAGUUGUAUUUUUAAAUUUGUGUAUGUGUGAGAAGGUGUGUGUGAAACUAAUCCUUGUAGCAGAAGGAAUUAGAGUGAACUAAUAGCUUUUUCAGGAAUCUGUGUUCUCUGGUCAUAACUCAUUCUGAGUCUGGAAUCUGGCAUAGAGAAAUGUGCUGUAUGAAGGGUGACAUUAAGUACUUUCAUUGUCAGAGCAGCACUGCAUAGUACAUGUCUGUGUUACCACAGUUUGUUGUCUGUAUGUUUCUGCUACAGAAGAAGAUAGCAAUCACAGCAGGCACUACUGAAGAGCGUGGUUAGGACUCUGCUGCCAUCUGUGUUAGCACUGUCUGCUCAUGUUAUUUGCUUGUUUCCAUAUGUGUAGUUUAGCACUUAGCCUCUACAGCCAUUAUAGUAACGUAUCUGAAAACAGUUGUGAUAAUGAAAGCUGAUUGGAAACAGUCAUUUAAAAAGUUAAUUUGCUUGUUUUCAAUGCACAUGCUCUGCUUUUUUUUUUAGUAUCUGCUACUACUUUAGGCAGGUUUAGCGAGAUACCGCUGCACAUUCCAAAUUUGAACUCAUCGCUUUUGGCUUUGUACAUCAUAAUCACGUCCACAGCAACCACUGUGAUGCCAUAAACAGAAGGUUUGACUUCAGGUGAAGAAUUUAGGCCAUAAAAGCAGAAACAUUCCUAAAGGAAAAUGGGGGAGGAUAAGGAGGAUGUGGAAAGUGCUUAUUCUGACUUUCUGUGUAGUGUUUUUUUUUUUUUUUUUCAAAACUUUUCUUUCAGCUAUCACUAAAGAUAAAAAAAAAAAAACUUUCAAAAUGUCAAAGUGAAUCAUCUAUUUUAGAUAGUAUAAUUGAAAAAAAUGUAUAAACAGCAGAGUUUUAUUCUGCAUUAGAUUUCUUUCUGUCUCUUUUCCAUUCAUUAAAAAAAUAAAAUAAUUUUAGUAAAUCCACAGUGGCAGGAUAGUUUUGCUUCUGUACUUUUCCCAGGGUGCAGCAGGAGAAAUUGCAUUUGCAGUUCAUGGAGAAUGAAAUUAAACUUACUCUGUCCGCUACUCCUACACCCAACACAUUUCUGGGAGAGACACUUGCGUGCUAUAGGAAGCAGUGCCCUGAAUGCACUUGCAUCUGCUCUUGUGCUUGAAGGAACAGGCACAGAUUUGGGCCCACGUUAACUCCCAAAUUAGCAUUAGGUACUGUAUGGAGUGCUUGUGUUUGUCUGCCUCCUCUCUAAGGUGUUGCUCUUGGAAGGGGAGACUUAGAAUGUGUCACUUUGUUUGCUUCUAGUGGCUGAGAUGACUUUCUGUUCUGUGGUACAUUUGUAUAUUCUUAGAAAGGUCAUGGUUUUACAGAGUAUCAGAAAAUUGAAGGAUACCCAUUUUUAACUUGCAUCAUUUCAUGCUCAAAACAUAUGAGGGUGAUAAGCUGUAAAGUCAGUAAAAAAGUAUUUGGCAAAUGUAAAUUACAUUGUGGCAACUGAAAAAGAGCAGAAUGCCAUUUAUUUGUUUAGUGGUGGUAGGAAAGGCAACUUUGAGGAGAGAAAAAAAAAAGGCAAACAAAAAACCAAACACAUACCACUUUCUUCUUAAGCAGUGAGAUCUCUGUCUUUAACUCUUUGAUCAUCCUUCUGAUAGAGAUUAUGUACACAAACAUCUAUUUAUAGGGCUUGUUGCCCUUAGAGCUGGCCUGGCCACUUCUUCCUUUUGGGCUGUGGCUUCUCUAGAGCAGGUAGAUAAGUACUCAAAUGACUUUAGUUUUGAUGCAGCACCUGAAGUACAUAACAGCAGAUGCAGCAAUAAGUACUUCCUUUUCUUCCAGCGUAGAAAUUGAAUGCAUAUAAUACAUAUGAAGAAAAAUUCUCCAAUAAGAACAGAAAAAAAAAAAAAAAGGAUCAGCAAGGAUCUCUGUUUAAUAUAAUGCUGAUCCUGUGCUCCACAAAACUUGUUAACAGGAGGAGACUCUCACUGUAUAUAAAAAGGUUAGCACUUGCUGUUCGACAACUCCAGCAGUUUUCAUUUGCAUUUCAAAGCCAGAGAGAGAAUGAGAAAGCUCAUAUUUUUAAUUCCAAUAGUAUGUCACUCCGGCUGACUGUGUCUGUAAAACUGGCGCACUAUGGGCAAUUUUUAUCAAUUUCAUUUGUUGAAUCUACUCAGAUGAGCUUUUAAUCUCUUGCCUGCUGAUCCCUAGUUUAUAAUCAGAUUUGACAGAGGUAGGAUGGCUGUAAAUAUCUUGAUGUGAAAGUCAAGAUAGAACUGUCAUUUCUCUCCUUCCUCCUCUGGUGAGGUAAAAUUUUAUUUGCAAAGCGUGAAUAACUAAAACUUAAAACUGCCUAGUUUCAUACUGUUUCAGGUGCAUCUGUUCACAACUAAGCCUUUUUUCUAGAAAAGGCAAGAACCUUCCUUGCUUAUUUAUUGACUUGCUUCUAAAUUUUUUGGAAAGAAAUUUUAUGUCAACUUGAAUAAUUAUUCCCAGAGGUUGAUAACAUGCUGAUUUCAGGUAAGAUCUGAAAUAAUAGAUAUUUGUGGUGUAGAUACUCAUUUUGAUUCCUGAAUAAAGCUAUUCAGGAAUGGCUUUAAUGCUGUCAAUAAAAACCUUACAGCUAAAUGAAUGAAAACGUGUAAUAGCUAUGUUUACUGCAAGUCUGUUCAUACUUUUUUUCUACUAUUUUGUAUACAUGAUGUUAGCUGUGUAACUUCUGCAUCUCUUUUGCUUCCCAUCAAAAUGGAAAAAUACCUCUUUGCUUUAUAAGGCAUCCUCUGGAUAAUUUUAAGACUCAAAUUUUGCCACAAAUUAAUAUAUCAAGAAUAUUCAAAAUACAGAAAGUUAGGAACAUGCACAAAUUUAAGUGUAUAUCCUGAUUCCAUUAAGUGUAAUCUGAGCGUAUGGAAUUAAAACAAUUGUGUUCAAUUAAAGCAAUUGUGAUAAUAUA